rnacentral:rRNA from 1 species
GAUGAACGCUGACAGAAUGCUUAACACAUGCAAGUCUUUGGCGAAGCUGUGCUUGCACAGCCUAGCCAAGGCGGACGGGUGAGUAACGCGUAAGGAACUUGCCCUGCAGUCAGGGAUAACAGACGGAAACGACUGAUAAGACCUGGUAAAGUCAGGCGGACUCAUGUCCAGCCUGAUGAAAAGAGAUGCUGCAGGAGAGCCUUGCGUCCUAUUAGCUUGUUGGUGGGGUAACGGCCCACCAAGGCGAUGAUAGGUAGCCGGCCUGAGAGGGUGGACGGCCACAAGGGGACUGAGAUACGGCCCUUACUCCUACGGGAGGCAGCAGUGGGGAAUAUUGGACAAUGGGGGCAACCCUGAUCCAGCAAUUCUGUGUGCACGAUGAAGGUUUUCGAAUUGUAAAGUGCUUUCAGCAGGGAAGAAAAAAAUGACGGUACCUGCAGAAGAAGCGACGGCUAAAUACGUG